GGGAUAUUGCACAAUGGGGGAAACACUGAUGCAGCGACGCCGCGUGAGUGAAGAAGUAUUUCGGUAGGUAAAGCUCUAUCAGCAGGGAAGAUAAUGACGGUACCUGACUAAGAAGCCCCGGCUAACUACGUGCCAGCAGCCGCGGUAAUACGUAGGGGGCAAGCGUUAUCCGGAUUUAAUGGGUGUAAAGGGAGCGUAGGUGGGAGGGCAAGUCAGAUGUGAAACCCCGGGGCUCAACCCCGGGAGUGCAUUUGAAACUGUCCGGCUGGAGUGCAGGAGAGGUAAGCGGAAUUCCUAGUGUAGCGGUGAAAUGCAUAGAUAUUAGGAGGAACACCAGUGGCGAAGGCGGCUUACUGGACUGUAACUGACACUGAGGCUCGAAAGCGUGGGGAGCAAA
rnacentral:rRNA from 1 species